AGAACCUAGCUCAGGCUGCCUAGUGACUUUGUGUACUCUGAAAGCAUCACCAUGAAUCCACUGACACCCCAAUGAUGUAAGCUUGAUUUGCCCUGAUCAAUAAGCUAAUAAGUUAUCACUGCCCAUUUUUGCCUUCUGCACUUCCCCAGUGAGAACACAGCAUUGUCAUAACCUGAAGUUCAGUAGGGGUUCAGCAAAAUUCAUCUCAAAGGCACCCAAGUACCUCUUGCUGCCAAAAGCAUCAUCAGGGGCACCCUUGGACAAACAGCAGAGAAGUCUCAGGGUUCUGUUCUGAAGGAAGACAGCAUUCACAGAGAGUGACUCUCCAGGGGCAUGGCCUGUGCUACACAAACUUGGCCUGGCGUGCCCGGCACGCUCAGCUUGCAAAGCUUCUGCUGCAGUACUUCAGAACAGCCUUAACACCUAUUUUCUUCAGCUGUCAUGAAAACCCCUAAAGCCAAGCCACACUGCUCCCUUCUCAUGCACUAUCAAAUACAAUAAAGAUUUACAGAUCAAAUUAUGAUCUCUGUAGUGUCUCUGCAGCUCAUUAUCAAUGAAGAACUUGCACCAGUGUAAAAGAGUAGGAGUAUAAAAUCUCCCUCACUGAUGAAGCCUUAUUUAAACUUAGCUGUACUGGGGUUUUUUUGACCAAAAAGAAUAUGAAGAUAUAUUAGGAAAAAAUUAAACAAUCUUUGAACUUCCCAAGGAAUAUUCUUUGCACUCAACAUGAUAAAAAGGAUCAUGGAGGGAUUACACAGAACAGGACACAAAGGAGUCAGUGCAAAGACAGUUCAAGCAAAGGGCAGCACAGCAAACUGAAAGAGGAAAAUGGGGGAAGCCCCAGCAGGAGUCAGUACCAAUUCUGCCCAGUGGUGUAUCACCCUUACUUGCUCCAGUCCUUCCUCCAGUCAUAGCUGACUGUAACCACAGUUCAGGAUCCAGAUUUUAUGUUGACUUCUCACUGACACCUUGGGAUGCAUCUGGAGGAGAUAUUAAGUCAUCUCUGCAUGUGACAGUUGUGCAUAUUUACAUUUCAAAACAUUUCCAGUACCUUAAUGCAAUUCUAGAUCAACUUUACAAAGUUAAUCACACCUCAUCAUUUCGAUACCUGCAAAUUGGUAGAGUUGAUUUGGACAUUUCUGAGGACCACUGGGACUAGUUACCUUAAUUUAAAGGCUGUUUAUCUCUUUAUUCUUAAUUAUGUUUUAUUUACACACAAUUAAGCACGGCAUCUAUGUUUGGAAAUUGAAUUUUGUUUACAAUAAAAAAAUCUGUAGAUGUUAGGAACUGGGACUGAUUUUAAGAUGCAAAUGCUGAAGCCAACUCAUUGAUCCUAGCAUUACAUGUGUGUUUAACUGGCUUCCUUUGCAGAUGUUAUUCAAUCUGUUCAACUGCUUAGCAAUGUUAAAUGACAACAACUGACUUGUGUGGAAAAGAUAAUUUACAAAGAUACCAAUAGAAACAAAUUUUUCUUCCUGUAGAAAAACUCAAAUUUAAAAAAUGCCUGAAAACAGCUCAGAGAUUAUUUGGGGAUAUCUAGUCAGAAUGUCUCCCUGAUUCUGUUUAUGCCACAGUACUUCUACUCAUAUGAUGUUUUGCUUUUGCUUAUUCCAAUAAUGAAACAAAAAGCAAACCUAUUGUAACAGCAAUGUAUUAUAAAAUGUGUCCUGAGCACUGCUCAGAAAAAAGAAUUUACUAUAAUUAUUCCUAUAGAAUUUAUGCAAAGUAAGCAGAAAGGAUAUUAUCUAGUAAAAUAUCAGUUCACAUGAAAGAAAUGUAAUAGGACCACAUCUCACCAAAUUUCCAGCUUCAGAGAAUACAAGGCUUAAAUUCACAGCUUCCCUUGGGAUUACCUGAUAUUACAAC